AGUGAACGCUGGCGGCGUGCCUCAGACAUGCAAGUCGAACGAUUAAAGCUCUCUUCGGAGAGUGCAUAGAGUGGCGCACGGGUGAGUAACACGUAAGUAAUCUACCUUCGAGUGGGGAAUAACGUCCGGAAACGGACGCUAAUACCGCAUAAUGCAGCGGCAUCGUAAGAUGACAGUUGUUAAAGAUUUAUCGCUUGAAGAGGAGCUUGCGGCAGAUUAGCUAGUUGGUAAGGUAAUGGCUUACCAAGGCUAUGAUCUGUAACCGGUCUUAGAGGACGGUCGGUCACACUGACACUGAAUAACGGGUCAGACUCCUACGGGAGGCAGCAGUCGGGAAUUUUGGGCAAUGGGCGAAAGCCUGACCCAGCAACGCCGCGUGAAGGAUGAAGUAUUUCGGUAUGUAAACUGCUUUUGCCAGGGGAUAAAAUUUCCAUGCGUGGAAAACUGAAGGUACCUGGUGAAUAAGCCACGGCUAACUACGUGCCAGCAGCCGCGGUAAU
rnacentral:rRNA from 1 species